rnacentral:rRNA from 1 species
UACGAGUGCCCCGAGCGUUAUCCGGAAUUAUUGGGCGUAAAGGAUGUGUAGGUGGCGUUGUUAGUCUUUUGUUAAAACUCCGAGCUCAACUCGGGGACUGCGAGAGAAACGGCAAUGCUAGAGGGUGCGAGAGGUGAAUGGAACUCAUGGUGUAGGGGUGAAAUCCGUUGAUAUCAUGGGGAACACCAAAAGCGAAGGCAAUUCACUGGCGCAUUUCUGACACUGAAACAUGAAAGCGUGGGUAGCGAAUGGG